UACGUAGGGUGCAAGCGUUGUCCGGAAUUAUUGGGCGUAAAGAGCUCGUAGGCGGUCUGUCGCGUCUGCUGUGAAAACUCGGGGCUUAACCCCGGGCCUGCAGUGGGUACGGGCAGACUAGAGUGGCGGUAGGGGAGACUGGAAUUCCGUGGUGUAGCGGUGAAAUGCGCAGAUAUCGAGGAGGAACACCUGGUGGCGAAAGCGGCUCACUGGACCAUAACUGACGCUGGAUGACACGAAAGCUAGGGGAGCAAACAGG
rnacentral:rRNA from 1 species